rnacentral:rRNA from 1 species
UACGGGGGGUGCGAGCGUUGUCCGGAUUCACUGGGCGUAAAGGGCGCGUAGGCGGCCGGCUCAGUCCGAUCUUCAAGCGCGGGGCUCACCCCCGCGAAGGGUCGGGGACGGGUUGGCUGGGGCGCGGUCGAGGGAUGCGGAAUGCCGGGUGUAGUGGUGAAAUGCGUAGAGAUCCGGCGGAACACCGGUGGUGGAGGCGGCAUCCUGGGCCGUGGCCGACGCUGAGGCGCGAGAGCGCGGGGAGCGAACCGG